rnacentral:rRNA from 1 species
UACAGAGGGUGCGAGCGUUGUCCGGAAUCACUGGGCGUAAAGGGCGCGUAGGCGGCCUGGUAAGUCGGGGGUGAAACGCUGCGGCUCAACCGCAGCACUGCCUUCGAGACUGUCAGGCUUGAGCACGGUAGAGGCUGGUGGAAUUCCCGGUGUAGCGGUGGAAUGCGUAGAGAUCGGGAAGAACAUCGGUGGCGAAGGCGGCCAGCUGGGCCGUUGCUGACGCUGAGGCGCGACAGCGUGGGGAGCAAACAGG